rnacentral:tRNA from 8 species
GCCGGGAUGGUGGAAUUGGUAGACGCAGCGGACUCAAAAUCCGCCGGUGGCAACACCUUGCGAGUUCGAGUCUCGCUCCCGGUACCA